rnacentral:rRNA from 1 species
GAUGAACGCUGGCGGUGUGCCUAAUACAUGCAAGUCGAGCGAACGGACGAGAAGCUUGCUUCUCUGACGUUAGCGGCGGACGGGUGAGUAACACGUGGAUAACCUACCUAUAAGACUGGGAUAACUUCGGGAAACCGGAGCUAAUACCGGAUAAUAUUUUGAACCGCAUGGUUCAAUAGUGAAAGACGGUCUUGCUGUCACUUAUAGAUGGAUCCGCGCUGCAUUAGCUAGUUGGUAAGGUAACGGCUUACCAAGGCAACGAUGCAUAGCCGACCUGAGAGGGUGAUCGGCCACACUGGAACUGAGACACGGUCCAGACUCCUACGGGAGGCAGCAGUAGGGAAUCUUCCGCAAUGGGCUAAAGCCUGACGGAGCAACGCCGCGUGAGUGAUGAAGGUCUUCGGAUCGUAAAACUCUGUUAUUAGGGAAGAACAAAUGUGUAAGUAACUAUGCACGUCUUGACGGUACCUAAUCAGAAAGCCACGGCUAACUACGUG